rnacentral:lncRNA from 1 species
ACGCGAUGAAGCCCAGACCUGCAGGGUUCGUGGAUAAUAAACUCAAGCAGCGAGUCAUCCAGUACCUUACCAGUAACAAAUGUGGCAAAUAUGUGGACAUUGGAGUCUUAGCGUCUGAUUUACAAAGAGUGUACAGUAUAGACUAUGGUCGAAGAAAAAGAAAUGCUUUUAGGAUUCAGGUAGAAAAAGUAUUUAGCAUAAUUAGUAGUGAGAAGGAACUUAAGAAUUUAACAGAAUUAGAAGAUGAACAUUUGGCAAAAAGGGCAAGACAAGGUGAAGAGGAUAAUGACGUCUCGCUCUGUCACCCAGGCUUCAGUGCACUGGCACAAUCAUGGCUUACCGCAGUCUUGACGUCCCAGGCCCAAGCGAUCCUCCCACCGCAGCCUCACAGGUAGCUGGGAUUACAGGUGUGUGCCAGCAUGCCCAGCUAAUUUUUUAAUUUUUUUGUAGAGACAGAGUCUCCCUUAGUUGCCCAGGCUAGAAUUUGUAUCUUAAUAUCUUAAUUAUAACAGCAUUUCAUUGCAUUCAUAUAAAGCUUUCUACCUAAAAAAAAAAAAAAAUUAUUUAAAUAAGAAAAGGGCUUUUUUUUUUUCUUAUUUAAAUAGUUUUUUUUUUUUUUUUAGGCAGAGUCUCGUACUGUGGGCCAGGCUGGAGUGUAGUGGCACGAUCUUGGCUCACUGCAACCUCCGUCUCCCGGGCUCAAGUAAUUUUCCUGCCUCAGCCUCCCGAGUAGCUGGGAUUACAGGCGUAUUUUCACCACACCUGGCUAAUUUUUGUAUUUUUAGUAGAGACGGGGUUUCACCAUGUUGGCCAGGCUAGUCUCGAACUCCUGACCUCAGGUAAUCCACCCACCUCGGCCUCCCAAAGUGCUGGGAUUACAGGCGUGAGCCACCAUGCCGGGCCUAUUUAAAUAAUUUCCAAAGAAGUAUUAAAUACUAGCAGUGUCCUGAAGUUACUUGAAGCUAUUAGAUAACAACUUUCAGUUAUAAUGAAUUAAGACUACAUUCUCAGCUUGUAGUUUAUUAGGCUUUAUACCUCUUUUUUGAUACAGGAAAUUUAUUUGCUCCUUCAUCCCUCAUGAACAGUCUUGCAGAAGUUGUAUUUGGUUACAUGCUUUGGUCAUGUUGACUUUGUGAAUUUGUUACUCAGAGUACUUAAUUAUAGGUUGCUGAAAUAUUUCCUCUACCUGAAUCUGAUAUCCCUAAAUGGGACCCUUGGGCCUGAGGGAAUUUGUAUCUCACUUUUAUUUAUUGCUAGGAUAAAUAUAACUAUAAUUUAUUUUGCAUUUAUUAUAUUUUGUAAAUGCAUAAGGACUUUGCAAGUGUUUAUUUAAUCCUUUAAUAACCCUGGGAGACAGACAUUACUUAUUAAAUCUCCGUUUUAUAGAUAAGGAAGCUGACGCUUAGAGAGGUUAAGUAAUAACUGGUUAAGUUGGAUUUUGAAUCCUAGUUUCUCUGAUUCCAGAGUUUGGACUCUUAACCACCAUAAUCUUUUGGCUGAAUAUAUUUACUUGUUUUGGGUAGUCAUUUUUUUAGGAUAUGGGAGAGAAAGUCUUUAAAACAUUUUUCCCUCCUUUUACUGAGGUAUACUGAAAGCUAUUCUGAUGAUGAUUCAAGUAUGGAAGACUACCCAGAUCCACAGUCAGCAAAUCACAUGAACAGUUCCCUGCUGUCUUUAUAUCGGAAAGGAAAUCCUGAUUCUGUUUCAAAUACUCCUGAGAUGGAGCAAAGAGAAACCACCUCUUCAACACCACGGAUAAGUUCCAAAACAGGCUCCAUUCCCUUGAAGACCCCUGCCAAAGAUUCUGAAGGAGGAUGGUUUAUUGACAAAACCCCAAGUGUAAAGAAAGACAGUUUUUUCUUGGACCUGUCAUGUGAGAAAAGUAAUCCUAAGAAGC